rnacentral:rRNA from 1 species
CCUACGGGUGGCAGCAGUGAGGAAUAUUGGUCAAUGGGCUUACGCCUGAACCAGCCAAGCCGCGUGAGGGAAGACUGCCCUAUGGAUUGUAAACCUCUUUUGUCAGGGAGCAACGGCGGCUACUUGUAGCCGGACUGAGAGAACCUAAAGAAAAAGCAUCGGCUAACUCCUUCCCAGAAUCCGCGUUAAUACGGAGGAUGGGAGCGUGAUCCGGAUGUAUUGGGUUUAAAGGGUGCGUAGGCGGAAUGCCAAGUCAGCGGUAAAAGCGCGGGGCUCAACCUCGCUCCGCCGUUGAAACUGGCGUGCUUGAGUGGGCGAGAAGUAUGCGGAAUGCGUGGUGGAGCGGUGAAAUGCAUAGAUAUCACGCAGAACUCCGAUUGCGAAGGCAGCAUACCGGCGCCAAACUGACGCUGAGGCACGAAAGCGUGGGUAUCGAACAGGAUUAGAUACCCGUGUAGUC